rnacentral:lncRNA from 1 species
UUAAAGAGACCACAACCUUUAGACCGUGUAGCCACCCCCCCUCUUCGGUCGUCUGAAUCCAAGAUGGAAUUAAAUUCCCCAACAAGAAGCCAAGGGUGAUUCAUGUGAUGCCCGAUAGUGGUGAGCUCCUCUUAAAGGUCCUUUCGUUUGUGAGGAUUUGGCUCCCAUAGAUAAUAGAGAGGGAGAUAUCCUCUCGACCAUCAUUCCUGCUAAUUAUGGAAUGGAUAAACUAACGGUGAUUAUAGUCUACAUUAACCUGGAUAGACUCUUUUCAAAUCAUCUAAAUGCCCCCUGAAAAUCCAACUGCCUCAACUCUAUGAAAGUAGUCGAAUCCCAAGUUCUUGAUCACUUUAUCCAUUUUCUCGCCUGCCGUCUUGGGCUCCAACAACGCAACGAAGGCAGGGUUGUGGAUAUUGACAUAGGACUUUAGGGCGCGCCGGAGGCCACUUUUUGUUGCGCCCUAAAAAUUCCACACAAGA